UCGACUUAUCCUUUUUCUUGGCGCCUUU
rnacentral:sRNA from 1 species